GAUACACAGCCAACAGAAAGGACAAAAUCAUGGGUCUGGCUGACACAGUUUACAGACUUGUAUUCAGGCGAACUUCAACAUUUGCCGCAGCUGUUCUUGGCACUGCCAUUGUUUUUGAUGCAUAUUUUAAUGAUUUCUUUGACAGAUGGAUAGCACAACAUAACGCAGGUAGGCGGUAUGAAGAUUUGAGAAAGAUAUAUCCUGAGGCUGUUAGCAGUGGUGGUGAAGAUGAUGAUGACUAGGAAUACCUAUAGGAUAUCUAGGGAUUAUACUGACUACUGGUUAAUAUGUGAUAUGAUGUUAAAAAAAAAAACAACAAAACUGUUGGAAAAUGCAGUCACAUGUAUGAUUGUGAUAUUAUUGUGUGUGAAAUGUAAAAAACCAACACAUUAAUUUAAUAACAUCUAUUUUAAAAGUU